UUUUUUAAACACAUGUAGAUGUGCAAUGUAUGAUAACAACACAAGAGACCAGGCCGGAAACUUGGAAAUACGCUGUCACAUGGUUCUUGCACGGGGUCAUUUGAAGGUGGACUGGUUAAGGGUCUGUCCACUUCUGGCAGCAGCUGGUCCAGCCUCCAGCUUUGGUCAUGGCGUCACCCACCUCUCCUCGCAGUUCUCAAGUAUUUUAAUGUUCUGCCGUGCAGUGCAUGCUCCCUGAGGAUGGUGCGUCUUGGAGAACUGUCCCAUCAUCAUUCAGAUGACACUGCCGGGUCGAGACUGGUGUCGGUACCUCACAGCAACAAAGCUUUCCUGGUGCUCCUGCCACCCCGCGUCACACCGUCAUCUC